CUCGUGAUUGAAGGAAGCCUGUUUGCAGAGGCAAGGUUCAUCCACUGGUGAAACAUCCUUUGCAGCUCCAUUGCAACGUGCUCCUGCAUCCUCAAUGAAACAUGCAAGUUCAUUUUUGCAUUGGAUUUAAGAGAGACAGAGAGGGUAAAUCAAACUGCAGAAUGCUAUAAUAAAAGGUCUGACAUAAGAAGUGGUGGUAAAAAGAAAAGGAAAGAACCAUCUCAGCAAUGACACUGAAGGAGAAGAGGACAUGAGCCAGUUAGCAUUCCAGGAACAUCCACUCUAUAAAAAGGGAGGGAGAGAAAAAAAAAAGCCCAAAUCCACAGACUGCAGCUCUACCGCCAUCUUGAUGUCCUUGAUGCGUGCUGAUGGCAUGGAGGCGGUUGGAACCAGAACAGCCCAAGAGAAGGAAUGAGAGGCCAAUGGAGAUUUAUGUGA